AGCUUUGUGCAGUGGCAGUAUUGUAGCCAAUGAGGUUUAUCUGAGGCACGAUUAUUGCUAAUUGAAAACUUUCUCCAUGUA
ensembl:snRNA U4 U4 spliceosomal RNA